rnacentral:rRNA from 16 species
GGAUGCGAUCAUACCAGCACUAAAGCACCGGAUCCCAUCAGAACUCCGAAGUUAAGCAUGCUUGGGCGAGAGUAGUACUAGGAUGGGUGACCUCCUGUGAAGUCCUCGUGUUGCAUUCC